AGAGUUGAUCCUGGCUCAGGAUGAACGCUAGCUACAGGCUUAACACAUGCAAGUCGAGGGGCAUCAUGGUGUGUGCUUGCACGCACCGAUGGCGACCGGCGCACGGGUGCGUAACACGUAUCCAACCUACCCAUGGCUCAGGGAUAGCCUUCCGAAAGAAAGAUUAAUACCUGAUGGUCUCGUGUCGGGACAUCCCGUUGCGAGUAAAGAUUCAUCGGCGAUGGAUGGGGACGCGUCCGAUUAGCUUGUUGGCGGGGUGACGGCCCACCAAGGCGACGAUCGGUAGGGGCUCUGAGAGGAGGGUCCCCCACACUGGAACUGAGACACGGUCCAGACUCCUACGGGAGGCAGCAGUGAGGAAUAUUGGUCAAUGGGCGAGAGCCUGAACCAGCCAAAGUAGCGUGAGGGAUGACGGCCCUACGGGUUGUAAACCUCUUUUGUUUGGGAAUAAAGUGGGCCACGCGUGGCCUUUUGUAUGUACCUUUCGAAUAAGCAUCGGCUAAUUCCGUGCCAGCCGCCGC
rnacentral:rRNA from 1 species